AUCCUUUUGUAGCUCAUGAGCAUGAUGAGUGGGUGUUCACAUGCUUGUGUGAGACGUGCUACCCUUGAGCCUUGUUAUGACGUCGGCACAUUACCCGUCUGACC